rnacentral:rRNA from 1 species
AACGAACGCUGGCGGCAGGCUUAAUACAUGCAAGUCGAACGGGCGCAGCAAUGCGUCAGUGGCAGACGGGUGAGUAACACGUGGGAACCUUCCUCGUUGUACGGAACAACUCAGGGAAACUUGAGCUAAUACCGUAUAAGUCCGAGAGGAGAAAGAUUUAUCGCAAUGAGACGGGCCCGCGUCGGAUUAGGUAGUUGGUGAGGUAACGGCUCACCAAGCCGACGAUCCGUAGCNGAUCUGAGAGGAUGAUCAGCCACACUGGGACUGAGACACGGCCCAGACUCCUACGGGAGGCAGCAGUAGGGAAUCUUGGACAAUGGGCGCAAGCCUGAUCCAGCCAUGCCGCGUGAGUG